rnacentral:rRNA from 1 species
GCAGGCGGUCUGUCAAGUCGGAUGUGAAAUCCCCGGGCUCAACCUGGGAACUGCAUUCGAAACUGGCAGGCUAGAGUCUUGUAGAGGGGGGUAGAAUUCCAGGUGUAGCGGUGAAAUGCGUAGAGAUCUGGAGGAAUACCGGUGGCGAAGGCGGCCCCCUGGACAAAGACUGACGCUCAGGUGCGAAAGCGUGGGGAGCAAACAGGAUUAGA